CUUUGUCUCCCUUCUGGCCGUCAGUUUCAUUGGAAUUUUAAAGGGCUUACCCAAGCUAAUCUUGGUGUGAUUUUCUAUUUUGCACGUGCAUCUUUGCUAGGCGCCCCGCCCUUUUGAAAAGGUGGAGCUGUGGAGUUCACCUCUGGCCUGCCGCUGGUGUUUGAGGUUUAUCUCCUUGUUCUCUGGGACAGGCGUGCGCAACGAAUUAAUUGAGUCGUUUGCAGCCCACUUCCGGCCUAAUUGAACACCUGCCCGGCAGCUGCUGCCAGCGCGCCUGCCCGUUACCUGGUUUGCCAGCCGUCCCUGUCAUGUCAGUGUCUUGCUUGUACCAGAAGAUUCGGUUUUGUCACUUGCAGUUAGCUUACUGUGUCCUUCAGAGAACUGCUUUCUUCUUCACUUAAUUUAAAGGUGCCAAUGCAUCCUCUUCUGGGACAGUCCCUCUGCAUUCCCAUCUUGCCACUGUCCUCCUGGUUAAGAUCAUGGCUGAAUGGCAGCCUCAUGACAGCUGCUGCGAGACCAGAUGCAGAGAGAGGGUAUGUGUGCAUCCUGGCGUGGUUCUCAUGCUCGCCUCCCUCUCCCUUGGUCCCCAGACUAAGUUUCUACCGAGUCCUUCUUAAAGUAGUGCUCACGGUUUAGAGGUAGUGAGAAAUACUCUUUUAAGGGAAGGGACAUAAGUUGCUUUUUCAAUUAAGCCUUUACUUUGUUAGAGCCGUUUUAGGAUCACAGCAAUAUUGAGCAGAAGGUACAGAGAUUUCCCACAUACCCCUGCCCCCCCAUGCAUGACCUCCCUCAUUACCCACACACUCCCCCAGAGUGGUACGGUUGUUACAGUCGGUGAACCUACAUGGACACAUCAUCAUCACCCAGAAUCCAUAGUUUACCUUAAUUAAUUAAUUACUUUUUUAAAAGUUUAUUUAUUUUAUUUUGAGAGAGAGAGAGAGAGGGCAUGAGCAGGGGAGGGACAGAGAGAGAGAGGGAGAGAGAGAAUCCUAAGCAGGCUGUGUGCUGUCAGCAUAGAGCCCGAUGCGGGGCUCGGUCUCGUGAACCGUGAGAUCAUGACCUGAGCUGAAGUCAAGAGUCGGACACUUGACUGACUGAGCCACCCAGGCGCCCUCAUAGUUUACCAUAAUGUAAUACUCACUCUUGGUGUUGUACAUUUUAAGAAUUUGGACAAAUGUAUAAUGACACAGAUUCAGCCAAUGACAUAUAUCUGGUAUUUUCACUGCCCUAAAAAUCCUCUGUGCCCUGCCUAUACGUCUCACCCCGACCCCUGGCAACCACGGGUGUUUUAGCGUCUCCAUAGUUUUGCCUUUUUCACAGUGUCAUAUAGUUGGAAUUAUACAGUGUGAGGCCUUCUCGGAUUGGCUUCCUUCAUGUAGUGAUAUGCAUUUUAAAGUCCCUCCGCGUCUUUUCAUAGCUUGCUAGAUCGUUUCUUUUUAGUGCCGAGUAAUAUUCCACUGUUUGGAUGUGUCCGUUUCUUUAUCCACUUACUUGCUGAAAUGGAUGAAGACUUGGUUGCCUCCAGGUCUUGGCAAUUAUGAAUAAAGCUUCUAGAAACAUCCCCGUGCAGGUUCUUUUGUGGACAUAAGUUUUCAUGUCUUUCGGGUAAAUACCAGGGAGUGUGAUGAUUGCUGUAUCAUAGGGUCAAAAAACGUUUAAUUUUGUAAGGAACUGCCAAACUGCCUCUGUCUUCCAGUGCCAAACUGCUUGGUAUUCCCACCAGCAAUGAGUGAGCAUUCCUGUUGUCUACAGCCUUGCCGGCAUUUGGUCUUGUCGGUGUUCUGGAUUUUGGCCAUUCUAAUAGGUGCACAGUAAUGUCUCAUAAUUGUGUUAAUUUACAUUGCCCCAAUGACAUAUGAUGUGGCAAGUCUGUUUUUGAAAGAGUGCUGACUUUGUUUGACACUAGAAGUUUAUGUCUUUCCAAAGAGAAAAGUGGCUUUACUAAAAAUGAGAGCCAGAGCAGAGAAACCAGUCUUCCGUGAUAACAGAAAGCCUUCCUGUUCAUGGCCUAUGUUGGGUCUUCUCAACUCUUUUCUUUGGUUCAAAAUCUCAUAGCCAGCAGCAUGGUUUUCAGAGGAGCCCUGGCUUAAGUGUGAUUUUGUUGUUAAAAAUAUUGUGGAGGGGCGCCUGGGUGGCUCAGCUGGUUGAGCGUCUGACUUCAGCUCGGGUCAUGAUCUCACAGUUCGUGAGUUCAAGCCCCGCAUCUGGCUUGCCGCUUGUUAGCACAGGGCCCAUUUUGGAUCUUCUGUCCCCCUUCUCCCCUAUGCCCCUUUUCUGCUCGCACACGCACAAGUAUGUGCUCUGUCUCUCUCUCUCAAAAAUGAAUAAAUAUAAAAAAAAAUACUGUGGAGACACAGCACCCUUUGUUAACUCUUCGGUAGAAUUGUGUAUCUUAAUUUUCUCUUCAUGGUGUUCUUGGCCUUUCAAAAGCAAGUGUACUAUUGGGGCAUUUGGGUUCCUUCUGCCCAGAUUUGAACUUAUGCAAAAAUGGAGUAAGACAAGAAAAACAUCUGUCUUUAAAAUUCUUUGAUCUCAUUGUGGUUUUACAUUUGCUUUCAGUUUCCUUUUGGUGUUUCUGUGUAGAAUUUCAUAUUUUAAAAGUAUUUUAGCGGGUUCUUCAGAAAGUUACACUUAGAACUACCAUAGGGCCCAGCAAUUCCACUCUAGGUAUCUUUGUGAACUGAAAACAAGGACACAGAUCUUUGUCUACAAAUGUUUAUAGCAGCUGUGUUCAUAGCACCCACUAUGGAACAACCCAAAUGUCUGUCAACAGAUGAAUGGAUAAAUAAAGUAUGGUAUAUCCAUGCAGUGGAAUAUUGUUCAGCUGCAGAAAGGCAUGAAUUACGGAUGUGCUGCAACAUGAAUAGAUCUCAAAAGCAUUAUGCUAUAAGUGAAAGAAGCCAAAUAUUGGCCAAAUAUUGUAUGAUUCCGUUAAUGUGAAAUAUCCAGGUGGUUGCAAGGGAUUGGUGGUGGGGAGACCUGGGGAUUGACCCCCUAAUGGUGCAAGUUUUCUUUUGGGGUGAUGAAAACAUUUUGGAACUAGGUUAGGGGCAGCAGUUGUACAACAUUAUGAAUCUCCUAAACACCCCUGAAUUGAACACUUUACCUUGAAUGGUUAAUUUACGGUCCAUGAAUUUGGCCUCGAGUAAAAAAUUAGGCGGGGUAACAGACAGAAAGUGCUUGGCACACAGUAAGCAUUUAAUAGAUGUUAACUUCUAAUUGAUUUAACUAACUUCAGUCUUGGUUGGAGUCUGGUUUCAUUUCUGCGGAAGGAGAGAAUGCGGUGGACUGAGGGAGAGACACAAAAUGCUGGAGGCAGAGAAAUGAGUUGAUUUGAGUCAGCUAGGUUGUUGUUAGACUUUUGAGGAAAGGAGACAGAAAGUCCUGUUUCCCGGAUUUCUUCUAGGUAGCCACUUGCAGCCUGUGGGAGCUGGUGGAAACUCACUCCCACCAGCUCGAACAAGACAAGUUUGGGAAGCACUUUGAAAAGCAUGUGGCAGGUGGCAGGCAGCGAGGGCUACAGAAGCAGUUUGAUUAAAUUAAAGAAGAAGGGGAAAAAAAAGCCAAACCCAAGGGAGUUGUAACAGUCCUCAGGAGGCAGCUAGAGGGAAGCACCCCCUGCCCGCCUCCCCUCCCCCCCCCUCACCCCUGCUUCCUCAGACUUGAGAGAGUGCCCUGAGGCCAGCCCGCCUCCAGUCUCUGCAGAGCCCUGGGCCUCUGGGUUCCUCCUCACAGGCUUGGUUUUGUGUGUCUGAGUACUGCUUUCUUCCUCAGAAGAAGGGACUUGAGUCAUCCCCUGGGCCCGGAUGAACCUUCCUGCGGUGUAGAGGACCUGCGGAGAGGCUCUGUCCCUCAGCUGAAUAACCCAAGUCACCUUUACUGGAAAUCAGUUUGCUGAAAGCCUUGAAACUGCAGUUCUUGGAGUUGAAGAAAAGUUCUCCCCACAGGAGGUUGUGCACCUUGACCAGAGGAGCGUGGCCUGUCCUUCAAAACCCUCUCCAGACGCCUUCUAGCCUCGCCCGGGAAAGAUGCGGCAGCUCAAAGGCAAGCCCAAGAAGGAGACGUCCAAGGACAAGAAGGAGCGGAAGCAGGCCAUGCAGGAGGCCCGACAGCAGAUCACCACGGUGGUGCUGCCCACGCUGGCCGUGGUCGUGCUUCUGAUCGUGGUGUUCGUGUACGUGGCCACGCGCCCCACCGUCACCGAGUGAGCGCUGUGGGCGGGCUCCCCAAGCAGGGAGUGGAGGCCGGGGAGGGGGAAAGCCAACGAAACAUGGCUUUCGUGUCCCAAGAUUUUCCUGAUGCUGAGCUCCGAGCAGGGGCACCCUGUCUUCUCUGGUCUUUGACUUGAUUAAAGUUUCUCCAAUUUCCCUGGGAGGGAAUAGGGAACGUUUUAUCAGUGAACGUGCCAUACACCUUAUGGUCCACUUCAUGUGCCUUUCAGACUUCAAAGCGGUGUGUGUGUGUGUGUGUGUGUGUGUGUGUGUUUCUUUGUCUCUCCUAAAAUCAGUAUGUAGCCCACCUGGUGAGAGGAGGAAUCUCUGGGUCAUGAAUCAGUUGGAAUCAGUGCUCACCCCAUCCCCAUUGUUUUGAACAUGACUCUUUUCCUACAUGUGUUCACAAUUUCCAAAGGGACUGUACUUCUCUGUGCUUAAUGUGAUUUGAAAUAUGUCGACUCAAAAGUGAAAUAUUUAUUUUUUU